AUUGAACGCUGGCGGCAGGCCUAACACAUGCAAGUCGAACGAGUGGCGGACGGGUGAGUAAUGUCUGGGAAACUGCCCGAUGGAGGGGGAUAACUACUGGAAACGGUCGCUAAUACCGCAUACCAUCGGAUGUGCCCAGAUGGGAUUAGCUAGUAGGUGGGGAAACGGCUCUCCUAGGAGACGAUCCAUAGCUGGUCUGAGAGGAUGACCGUCAACACUGGAACUGAGACACGGUCCAGCCUCCUACGGGAGGCAGCAGGGGGGAAUAUUGCACAAUGGGCGAAAGCCUGAAGCAGCCAUGCCGCGUGUAUGAAGAGGCCUUCGGGUUGUAAAGUACUUUCAGCGAGGAGGCGUUACUCGCAGAAGAAGCACCGGCUAACUCCGUGCCAGCAGCCGCGGUAAUUC
rnacentral:rRNA from 1 species